CUUAUCUCUUCCACCGUGAUCAGCCGUUUCUUCGUCGUGCUUUGGAGAUAUUUUUCAUAAAAGGAAUCAAUUUGUGUGCAAUAAGUGAAAGUGUACUCCAUAUUUUCAAGAUUGAUGAAAGUAAGGCAAUGCCGCCUAUUUACAAGGAUGAUAGAAUAAAGUACAUUCAAGGAAGCUGCAAUUCUGAUCAUAUCGAAAGGCAGGAAAUAAUAUCUGCUUGAUACAAGUCUUUCUUUCGGUGACCGCAUUUUUAUCUAGGUUUAUUGAUAGAUACCUACACUGAAAAUCAAUUGUUGAACAAGAUGACUGUCCGAGUCUGUUGGUUGCAUCAGAUAAACAUAAAGAGUGUCCUGAUAUUUCUGCCAACUCAAAUUAGAAACACAUUGUACAAAGCAAUCAAGUUGCACAAUCCAAGCAUCGAUAGUUAAAAGCUAUAAUAUUAAGAAUAAGCGCGCGCACACUUGUAUUGUUUCUAGAUAUCGAGAAAUUUUAAGUAUAUCUCUGCUUGCUUGUGGUUGCCUAUAGUGCUUCUUAUGUAUUUUAUCCGCAUGACUCAUAAACGUUGCAAGAUCCGAAACUUCAGUAUCAUUCAGAUUGAACUGAAUACAAUGUGUCGCUAUGUUUUCUUAAUGUUGUACCACGCAAAGUAGUUGAUUCACUUGCGUUACAUGGAAAUUACGUGCAUAUUUCCGCAUUAAAACACAUGCUCUCAGAUAUCGAUAUCUUUUUUUAUCGAAACCAGGUAAUCCAAAAAUAAAAGGAUUUUUUUUUUGGUACAUUUGUUUCUGUACAAAAUUUCAAAAUUAAUGAAAUACGGUCAAUUCACAUUUCGUUUGACAAUAAAACGGGUACUGUUCGUCCCAACUUUCCUCUAAUACAAAAUUGCACGUAUUUUUUGGCAAUUUUUCUAUCUUCGACUGAUAAGGAUUUAUAAAUAUCAUCGAACAUAUUUUUAUUAACUUUAACAUAAUGUUUAAAAUCUUCUAUUUCUGCUCGUUCCAUUUCUCCUGCUCGACGUCUAUUAAAGACAUGUAUUGAAGUUAAUGUGAUCUCAGUUAAGGCAAGCCAUUUUUCAUAUGUAAAAGAUUCUUUUAAUGCUACAUAUGCUGCAGUUCUUUGCUUCGUCAAAUGUAUGUGUAACUUUUUAAUAUCAUUCAAUAGAUAAAUUUAUCUUUUUAUGCCUUUUAUGAGCAAAGAUAGAAGAUGUGUCUCUUUUAACGUUUUAUUGACACUUGUUUUAAUAUUCCAAUAUUAAUAUAAGGAAACACAUAGCAACACAUUGUAUUCACAACGAGCAGUUUUAUAAAAUUUUUGACUAAUUUUUUCUUAUUUUCAUCUUUCUUUUUGAUGUAUUGCAAAAUUAGAAUAUUUCCUACGUAUUUAAGAAAAGUUGACAAAGUAGCUGCUGGAGUUUUAUAUAGUUGCGUACCGUUAUCAUAUCCUGCAAUUAUAUUUAUUGCAGAGAUACAAUCAUCAUAUAAUCGAGGAUGGUAUAAUAACUAAUGUAUAUGUAAUGUAUAAUUUAGAAUUUUCAAUCGUUAUAUCAACUAUAUGGCGACUGUAUUUCUGCAAUAAAUAUAAUUGCAGCAUAUGCUGCAUUAAAAUAGUUCUUUUCAGUAAAUUUGUAUUUCUGUACUUCUGAUUCGUUAUGGUAAACUAUUAUUACCAAAUGACGUGCGAAUUAGGAUUUUUUUACAAAUUAGUAGUUUAAUUUUUAUUUAAGUCUUCUAAUGUACAUGAUCUUAUCGUUACAUAUUGUUGUGUCAACAAUAUUUGUAUUUGAAAUGUCCAAACUUGAAAUCGAAUAUGCAAUUCUGUUCAUAGUUUGUAGAUCUUGUGUGUACAUGUAAUAUCUUGUAUAGAUUCAUUAUGUGUGAAGAAGAACUUUGCUUUGAAGAUACAUAGAAGGUAUUGCGAGUCCUAUAUUUGCAUAUCUCAAUAUAUACAUGUAUUUGUAUAAAAUAAAAUAUAACAAUAAAACAUGA
rnacentral:lncRNA from 1 species